UGUGAAGAUGCAAUCUCCCCGCUGCUAGACGGAAAGACCCCGUGAACCUUUACUGUAGCUUUGCAUUGGACUUUGAAGUCACUUGUGUAGGAUAGGUGGGAGGCUUUGAAGCAGAGACGCCAGUCUCUGUGGAGCCGUCCUUGAAAUACCACCCUGGUGACUUUGAGGUUCUAACCCAGACCCGUUAUCCGGGUCGGGGACCGUGCAUGGUAGGCAGUUUGACUGGGGCGGUCUCCUCCCAAAGAGUAACGGAGGAGUUCGAAGGUUACCUAGGUCCGGUCGGAAAUCGGACUGAUAGUGCAAUGGCAAAAGGUAGCUUAACUGCGAGACCGACAAGUCGAGCAGGUGCGAAAGCAGGACAUAGUGAUCCGGUGGUUCUGAAUGGAAGGGCCAUCGCUCAACGGAUAAAAGGUACUCCGGGGAUAACAGGCUGAUUCCGCCCAAGAGUCCAUAUCGACGGCGGAGUUUGGCACCUCGAUGUCGGCUCAUCACAUCCUGGGGCUGUAGUCGGUCCCAAGGGUAUGGCUGUUCGCCAUUUAAAGUGGUACGUGAGCUGGGUUUAAAACGUCGUGAGACAGUUUGGUCCCUAUCUGCAGUGGGCGUUGGAAGUUUGAAGGGGGCUGCUCCUAGUACGAGAGGACCGGAGUGGACGAACCUCUGGUGUACCGGUUGUUUCGCCAGAAGCAUAGCCGGGUAGCUAAGUUCGGAAGAGAUAAGCGCUGAAAGCAUCUAAGCGCGAAACUCGCCCAAAGAUGAGACUUCCCUUGUGGUUUAACCAUACUAAAGAGUCGUUCGAGACCAGGACGUUGAUAGGUUGGGUGUGGAAGGGUGGUAACACUUGAAGCUAACCAAUACUAAUUGCUCGUGAGGCUUGACUCU
rnacentral:rRNA from 1 species